UGCAAUCUAUCGACAUAAACAUUUUAUUAGUAUUUUUAUUUGUAUUUAUGAAUUUUCUGGUAGUGACACCCCCAAAAUCACAGAAAUUAAUGGCCAACCCAAACUAAUUACAAUUAAUAGCAAAAAAGCAUCAAGUAACUGCAAUGUUGGAGGCCAAAUAUUGUUCUAGAUUAAAAAUGAGAGAGAGAGAGAGAUUAAGGAAAAGUUUGGAAUCAAAUGAAACAUGUGUGAAUCCUUAUACUCUUCCACGUAAAGACGAAGACUCAGGUACCGUGUGAAUCAAGAAAAGUUGUUCUCUAGAAGAGGAGAGAGAGAGAGAGAGCGGGGGGUAAACAAGAACAUGGAGCCUUAAGGACAAAAAAAAACGUGGACCAUUUUAGAUAGCUAAGUUAAUCCAGUUUUACUAAAUAUAUGUGUCAGCCCAUACCUCAC
rnacentral:lncRNA from 1 species